GACAAUAAACAGCAUUAUCCCUAUUAUUAGGAAUAAUGUAAUACCACCUCAUUCUUAUUAUGUAUUAUAAUCAUUAUGUAUAUAUGAACGCAUAUAUAAAAAUACAGACACUGCAUAGUGACUAAGCAAUUUUGGAAUAAAUCCAUAGACUAAGUCACAACAUGCAUAAAUUGUUUAUAUCUUAACUGCUCAUUUAUACCUGAACAAAUUUUCAUUAAGCAUACUGCUAAUUUUCAAAUGAUGUGGUAAAAAAUCUGGUGGCAGUACUGUAUUAUUUUGCUGAAUUACAUUUGACAAAAAAGAAGCUACCUGCUUCAUCUAUUCUAAUAUAGUAGAUCCUGGGUCGUCUUAUAAGAAUACAUGUAUAGAAACUUAAAAGAUCAUAAAUUUCUCAUGAGGAGACAUUAUUUGAUCUGUGUUAUUGGCAUGUAUUUGCAAAACAUUUUAACACUGCAAAACAUUAGAAAUUUGAAGACUGGGCAUGGGAAAAGGUUUAUACUCUACUACAAUGAUGCUGGUGUACUUCUACACAAGGCCUCUUAGUGACGUCAAUCAAUUGGAGGUAGGAGUUUAUCAAUGAAUUGCUUGACAUUCAUCAUUUCCUGUUGACACGAACUGUGCAUCAUACCUUCAUAGGUUUUAAAGGUCACAUUGGCUGGAUUCACCAAUGUUUUUUAGUUUUUCAACCGUAAGAGAACCAAACAUCAGGGGAACCAAAGGGUCACAAUCCCCGUGGCACUGGAGAAUAGAAAUAUCUCUAUUAGCACCACCGAUAGGACCCUGUGGAAAGGAAGCCCAAAGUGGAAGCCAGCAAUUGAGUGCAGUGACACCUGCCAGUUUCUGGUGCGUGGUAAGGGCAGUAUAUAAAGAUAAAGCUCCUCCCUGAGAAAACCCUCCCAAAAUAAUUCUGUUAGAAGGAAUGCCAUUCUUCACUUCUUGAUCAAUCAAAGCUUUUAUAUUUUGUGCUGCCUGUUUAAUCCCAGAUUCAUCCUCCUGUGAAUCUGGUGAAAGCCCAAUAAUAUCAAACCAUGAAGGCAUAGCUAUGUUCAUAUUUAAUGUUAACAGGCCUAACAGGCGCAUUAUCUCCCAAUCCAUGCAGGAAAAUCACCUCAGUGGUGGCCUUCCGGGGGGCGGGCACGAUGGUGGGCAGCGGGGUUGACAUGUUAUUGCCGCACAUACACCGCCUCAGCUCACAGCGCAAGCGGAAGGAAGAGCAGGCGCCCCGCCGCUGCCCAAGGGCGUGCGAGCGGCGAGUCCCAGCCGGCCC
rnacentral:lncRNA from 1 species